rnacentral:rRNA from 1 species
GGAGGGUGCAAGCGUUGUUCGGAAUUAUUGGGCGUAAAGAGCGUGUAGGCGGUUCGGUAAGUCAGAUGUGAAAGCCCUGGGCUCAACCCAGGAAGUGCAUUUGAAACUACCAGACUUGAGUACGGGAGAGGAGGGGGGAAUUCCCGGUGUAGAGGUGAAAUUCGUAGAUAUCGGGAGGAAUACCAGUGGCGAAGGCGCCCCUCUGGACCGAUACUGACGCUGAGACGCGAAAGCGUGGGGAGCAAACAGGAUUAGAUACCCUGGUAGUCCACGCCGUAAACGAUGAGCACUAGGUGUAGCGGGUAUUGACCCCCCUGCUGUGCCCGUAGCUAACGCAUUAAGUGCUCCGCCUGGGGACUACGGUCGCAAGACUA